CAGCAGUAGCCGCGGUAAUACGAAGGGUGCAAGCGUUAAUCGGAAUUACUGGGCGUAAAGCGUGCGUAGGCGGUGAGUUAAGUCUGCUGUGAAAUCCCCGGGCUCAACCUGGGAAUGGCAGUGGAUACUGGCUCGCUAGAGUGUGUCAGAGGAUGGUGGAAUUCCCGGUGUAGCGGUGAAAUGCGUAGAGAUCGGGAGGAACAUCAGUGGCGAAGGCGGCCAUCUGGGCCAACACUGACACUGAGGCACGAAAGCGUGGGGAGCAAACAGGAUUAGAUACCCCUGUAGUCCCUGUCUCUUAUAC
rnacentral:rRNA from 1 species